GGCUGUGAUUGUCCAAACGCAAUUCUUGUGUAAUGGACAGCAAGAACUGUGUAUGGACAUCAAUGCU
rnacentral:pre_miRNA from 1 species